ensembl:lncRNA
GGCGAACGGCGCUCGCGCAGCCCUGGCCCGGUCUGCAGAGUCGGAGCCCCACCGGCCUACGCGGCUGCGAGCGAUGCCCAAAGGACCCCUUUUUUCUUUUAAAGUCCAGUCAUUUCAGCAGAGGCGUCUCCGUGUCUGUCACUCUGAGCCAACACACCCGGGAGCAUGGCGUGCCCUUCCAGGAUGUUUCAGCUCUCUCGUGUUCCACGAAAACCGCCAUGAGUGCUCACCGCCCCAGGGGAACGUCUUGCAGAACCCCAGCGCUGGGUGGUGCCCAGGGAUCCGUCCGUGCUGUGGGUGCCCUGGGGCCCGGCGCUGCCUGCAGCAGGACCUCUGCCGUCCUCCAGGAGUGUUUGCACGCGGGGUCCUAGAGAACAGGUGUUCUCCAGGAGUACCGUGCUGGCUCCAGGGGUAGCUGCUGGGUUUGAGGGGAGUCUGAGUGCUUUCCAGAGCAGCUGUACCGUCUCCCCGCCUCCAGCCCUCCGAGCGUCCCGGCGCUGACCUCAGGCACCUACGGCUGGUUGGCUGGUUGACUCCUGCCGUGGGCAGCCAGCCAGCCGCGCUGGGCGCCUUCCGCUGCCACCGGUGCCUGUCCAGCGCGGUGCCUCCCUCCUCACGCCCUGGCCUGUCCUCCAGCUGGACUGCUCCUUACUGUGAGUUUGGGGAGUCUCUGCCCAUCGCAGAGGCAAGCCUAUCAGGUCCGCGCUUGGC